rnacentral:rRNA from 1 species
UGGGGAAUUUUGGACAAUGGGCGCAAGCCUGAUCCAGCAAUGCCGCGUGCAGGAUGAAGGCCUUCGGGUUGUAAACUGCUUUUGUACGGCGCGAAAAGGUCUGCCCUAAUACAGAGACUUAAUGACGGUGCCUGAAGAAUAAGCACCGGCUAACUACGUGCCAGCAGCCGCGGUAAUACGUAGGGUGCAAGCGUUAAUCGGAAUUACUGGGCGUAAAGCGUGCGCAGGCGGUUAUGUAAGACAGAUGUGAAAUCCCCGGGCUCAACCUGGGAACUGCGUUUGUGACUGCAUAACUAGAGUACGGCAGAGGGGGAUGGAAUUCCGCGUGUAGCAGUGAAAUGCGUAGAUAUGCGGAGGAACACCGAUGGCGAAGGCAAUCCCCUGGGCCUGUACUGACGCUCAUGCACGAAAGCGUGGGGAGCAAACA